AUUUUAUCUAAUUAGCAAAAUAUUGCUAAUAUUUAGACAUUAUAUACAUUGUUUGUACUAAAAAAUAUUUUUCAAUAUUGUGACAAGCAAUAAAAAUAUUAUUUAAUUAUGAUUAAUUUAAAUGACUACAUAUCUGAGAUGUCAAAAUGCCCCUUAAUGUAAGGGCAAGUUAAUAGGAACAAAUUCCCUCUCCUAUCCAUAUGAUGAUCUUCUGAUCAUGGAACUUCCAUGUUCUGAUCAAGCAAUAUCUGUGACAUUAGCUCCUGUUGAAAGACUGUAUAGAAUUGUUGUCAAAGUGUUCAGACAAGAGAGAUUCAGACUAAAUGACAAAACAUUAAAAUACCUAGUGAUUAUCAAUUGCAACGC
rnacentral:lncRNA from 1 species